CCACACCUGCCACCGCCCCCAGAUGAACCUCCCUGAUACUCGGGCCUUCCACCCAGUCCUACAAACCUCUGAACCCUCCGGCCGACACUAAGCCUUGCUCCUGAGUUGUCUCCAUCCAGAAGAGUGGCCAGAGUGAGGACAUCCAGGACAGCCAGGCCUACACAGAGAAACCCUGUCUCACAAAACCAAAAGCAAGCAACCAAACCCUUGCCACUGCUGAGAGACUGGAUAAGCAGAACAGCACACUGUAAAGCAGCCUUCAAAGGAAGCGCGUUCUCACGCGUGCACCAUCACAGAUGAACUCUGAGGAUACUGGAGCGAGCGAGGCGGGCCAGGAGCGUGUAUGAAUGCCCCAUGUGUAUGUGGUGCCCGUAGAAGCCAAAACGGGGCGUCGGAGCCUCUGGUCCAGCAUUGGAGUCACAGACUUUUGUGACCCUCCAAUGUGGGUGCUGGGGACUAAGCUCAGCACAAGAACAGCGGGGGCGGGGGUGGCCCCACGGUUAAGUGCUCUCGCAGAGGAUAAGAGCUUGGACCCCAGCGCCCACAUCAGAUGGCUUACAACCUCCGCACGCACGCACACAAGGACAGACGGAGAAAAAUCAGACGCUCCAAGUUAAACGAAACCCUCCCAGGAAUUUGUGGGGUGACCCGAACGGAGCAAGAGGAAGCGCAGGGAUUAAGAGGGAGCAGAGACUGAGGGAAUGGCCAGGCAAUGGCUGGCCCAACUCGAGACCCACCCCAGGGGCGAGAGCCAACCCCUGACUCCGUCAAUGACGCCCUGCAACGCUGCAGACAGGAGCUGAGCAUGAUUGCCUUCUGAGAGGCUUCAUCCAGCAGCUGGGGGAAACAGAGGCAGAGACCCACGGUCAGACAACAGGCGGAGCUCCGGAGGUUUUGUGGAAGAGUGGGGGGAAGGAUUGAGGGAGCCAGAGGGCUCAGGGACACCAUGAGGUAUCCUGCAGGGGAAACGAACCUGGGCCCAGGGGGCUCACAGAGACUGGACCACCAGCCAAAGAGCGAGCAUGGGCUGGGCCUGGCCCCUUCGCAUAGGUAGCAGAUGUGCGGCCUGGUCAGCUCGUGGGUUGCCUAAGAAUGGGAGCAGGGGCUGUGACUCUGCACAGCCUCAGGGCAAUGCAUCUCUAAUAACUGGUCACCUGCAGUACACGUGACCAGUGUACUGGUCCAGUCAGUACCAGUGUACUGACCAGUCAGAUGCUGCCUGCCUUUACAUCCCUUUCCCCUAGCUGGGCUGCCUUGUCAGAGGAGAGGAGGCACUUAGUCCUGCUGCGACUUGAGGUGCCAGGGUACUUUGGUACCCCUUGGGGGCCUCCCUUUCUCUGAGAAGGAGGAG